rnacentral:rRNA from 1 species
UACAGGGGGUGCAAACGUUGCUCGGAAUCAUUGGGCGUAAAGCGCACGUAGGCGGUCUGUUAUGUCGGAUGUGAAAGCCCUUGGCUUAACUGAGGAAGUGCAUCCGAAACUGGCAGGCUAGAGUACUAAAGAGGGUCGCGGAAUUCCCGGUGUAGAGGUGAAAUUCGUAGAUAUCGGGAGGAACACCGGUGGCGAAGGCGGCGACCUGGACCAUAACUGACGCUGAGGCGCGAAAGCUAGGGGAGCAAACGGG